UACAAAGACGAUAAGAACGAAGGUAAAGUGAUUGAAUAAAUACAAUGUACAGGUUGUCACAAGUUCUAGUAAGUGUGGUCCACUCCUAUUACGACUUAUUCACUUGUUUUUUAUUUCUAUUGAGCUCCUAUAUCAUAUGUGAUUAUCUACAGCUUUACAUACUCAGUACAUAUUUCGUACUGACGUCCCCCACGGGGACCUGCAUUUCAUGCUGCAGGCAUAGGUACCUCAGCUCAUUCACAGCAUAGAUAGGAGCCAGGUCAUACAGCUAUUGUUGGUGAGCUCCAGUUUGCUUCGGAGCUUUUCGAGUCGGUUCCUUAUGUUUUGUUAUUGUACAGGAGUCAUGUGUGGGCGGGGGGUUUGUCCCGACCCUAGUUAUGUCAUGUAUAUCCUAGAGGCUUUGUAGACAUAAGGAAGGGUAAAGUCAUGGAAGUUUAUAUAGUGAUGUUAUAUUUGUAUAUGUGGUGGCCCCGACGGCCAAGUAUUAUAUAUAUAUAUAUAUAUUUGUGC
rnacentral:lncRNA from 1 species